rnacentral:rRNA from 1 species
CAGCAGUGGGGAAUCUUGGACAAUGGGCGCAAGCCUGAUCCAGCCAUGCCGCGUGAGUGAUGAAGGCCUAGGGUCGUAAAGCUCUUUCGCCAGGGAUGAUAAUGACAGUACCUGGUAAAGAAACCCCGGCUAACUCCGUGCCAGCAGCCGCGGUAAUACGGAGGGGUUAGCGUUGUUCGGAAUUACUGGGCGUAAAGCGCGCGUAGGCGGACUGGAAAGUUGGGGUGAAAUCCCGGGGCUCAACCCCGGAACUGCCUCCAAAACUCCCAGUCUUGAGUUCGAGAGAGGUGAGUGGAAUUCCGAGUGUAGAGGUGAAAUUCGUAGAUAUUCGGAGGAACACCAGUGGCGAAGGCGGCUCACUGGCUCGAUACUGACGCUGAGGUGACGAAAGUGUGGGGAGCAAACAGGAUUAGAUACCCUGGUAG